UGGUUGAUUGCUGCUUAAUUUAUGUUAGGUAGAGGAAAGUCCGCGCUAGCACAAUCUGUGAUGAUUGUAGUGUUUGCAUUAAUGCUAAUGAACAUUAAAUAAUCAUUAAUAUAAUGAUUAAUGGCUGUUUGUUUUGGUCAUAUUGUGAUAACAACAAACUAUAAAAGUGCCACAGUGACGAUGCCAAUAAGUGAUUAUUGGAGUGAAACGUUGGUAAACCCUGCAAGCUAGAAACUCAAAUUUUGGUCGAGGAAUUGCUUUUUAUUAAACUGAAAAUAAAAGCAAACAUUGUUAUGUUGAAUAAUAAUGUAGAUAAAUAAUCAACGCUUUUUUAAAAAAGUACAAAACGCGGCUUAUAG
rnacentral:RNase_P_RNA from 1 species